CAUGAGAGCCCAGGCUGGACCCUCUCACAGCUGACCUACACUACAGAAGGCCAGUAGCAAGUUCAGAUCAGCCAUGCUCACACUACACGCUAUCGUGCUGUCAAGUGGGAUACUUGGUACUUGAAGACCUCGUGGAUCAGCUGAAGGGCCAGAAAUCAAGUACAUCAAGAAGUCUGAGUCUGGUGCCAUGGAAGCCACCUUGGAACAAGAUCGCCGAGGCAAAGAGUUUGAGGAAUGUAUCUCAUCUCUCAUCCCUUCUUCUCUGCCUGCUUCCUGGCUGCCAAGAGGUUCCCUCGGCUUUCUGUCCAUUCCUAAUUGUGACUGUUGCUUGCCGUCAUGCCUCUCUCCUCCAGCAUGGACUCUAACCCUCUAGAAACUUCAUAUUUCACCUCAGACUAUGAGGAGGAAACAACGAAGUCAUAGAGUCCGUCUGCCUUUCCUGAUUCCCCAGCUAUCAGCGGCACAAUUUUCACAUGAGGCUUUCUGAGCCCCUGAAAACCGCGCUGCUUCACGCCCGUCUCUUUGUGGAUUCCAUCUGGAGAGCCAACAUGAUCACUGCCUCUUCGUGGAGUGUCAGCCUCACAGUGUUUUACUGAUACAGAGAAACUCCUGUGAAUGGAAUAAAAGCCUCGAAAUCCAGAAUACUCACUCCCCAUGUGAGGCCACAGCACCAGAUCAUAGCAGCGACAGUGGUGGGCCGAGAGGGCGUGGUUACCGGGAAGGUCUGUUGAGUGUCUUAAAUACUCUUCCCUUAGAUGUCUUCAUACAUUUUAAGGGAGUGAGCUAGCAGCAGUUAUAUUUUUUAUUAUUUUUUUUGAGAUUAUAAUCACAUCAUUUCCCCCUUCCCUUUCCACCCUCUGAGCCUUCCCAUAUACCCCUCUUUGCUCACUUUCAAGAAAAUGAUCCCCCUUCCUCUAUUAACUGUCAUUUCAUGCAAAUAUGUUUAUGCAUAUAUAUUACUAAACAUACAAAUACAACCUGUUCUGUCUGCA
ensembl:lincRNA 1700047G03Rik RIKEN cDNA 1700047G03 gene